GGGGAAUCAUCACCCGGAGGGCUCUACAUCACCAUGCCCGCCUCCGGACUGAUGCAUGAGUAGUUCAUCCUUUGACUAUGGGUCCAUAGCAGUAUCUAGAUGGUUGUCUUCUCCUCUUGUGCUAUCAUGUUUAGAUCUUGUGAGCUGCCUAUCAUGAUCAAGAUCGUCUAUUUGUAAUGCUACAUGUUGUGUUUGUUGGGAUCCGAUGAAUAUGGAAUACUAUGUCAAGUUGAUUAUUGAUCUAUCA